CCAUUGCUACAACCGCUCAGCGCAGGUGAUAAGUGCUUAUGCCCCCUGCUGUCUGGCGAGUCUUAGUCUAAUA
rfam:Bacillus atrophaeus 1942, complete genome.